rnacentral:rRNA from 1 species
GAUGAACGCUAGCUACAGGCUUAACACAUGCAAGUCGAGGGGCAGCAUGAAGUUUGCUUGCAAACUUUGAUGGCGACCGGCGGAUGGGUGAGUAACGCGUACCCAACCUGCCCCCUUCCCGGGCACAGCCCUUGGAAACGAGGAUUAACGCCCGAUGGCGUCUGGAUGCCGCAUGGCAUUCCGACCAAAUGCGAAGGAAGGGGAUGGGGGUGCGUCCCAUUAGCUUGUUGGCGGGGUAACGGCCCACCAAGGCAUCGAUGGGUAGGGGUUCUGAGAGGAAGGUCCCCCACACUGGAACUGAGACACGGUCCAGACUCCUACGGGAGGCAGCAGUGAGGAAUAUUGGUCAAUGGAGGCAACUCUGAACCAGCCAAGUAGCGUGAGGGAUGACUGCCCUACGGGUUGUAAACCUCUUUUGUCGGGGAAUAAACCGCGCCACGUGUGGCGCCCUGCAUGUACCCGCAGAAUAAGGACCGGCUAAUUCCGUG